GAAAGUAAGCAAGGGCGCAUGGCGGAUGCCUUGGCUCUCGGAGGCGAUGAAGGACGUGAUAAGCUGCGAUAAGCUUCGGGUAGGUGCAAAUAACCUUUGAUCCGAAGAUUUCCGAAUGGGACAACCCGUCAUUCUGAAGGAAUGACAUCUUGCAUGGCAAGAGGCUAACGCAGGGAACUGAAACAUCUUAGUACCUGUAGGAAAAGAAAAUAAUAAUGAUUCCCCAAGUAGUGGCGAGCGAACGGGGAUUAGCCCAAACCAAUGUUGUUACGGCAAUAUUGGGGUUGUAGGACCACGAUGUCGCAAGAAAUUUAGUGAGAAGAACCCUUUGGAAAAUGGGACCAUAGACGGUGAUAGUCCGGUAUUCGAAGCUAAACGAAGCGUAGUGGUAUCCUGAGUAGCGCGGGACACGAGAAAUCUUGCGUGAAUCAGCCGGGACCAUCCGGUAAGGCUAAAUACUCCCGAGAGACCGAUAGCGAACCAGUACUGUGAAGGAAAGGUGAAAAGCACUUCGAAUAGAAGAGUGAAAUAGUCCCUGAAACCGUGCGCCUACAAGCGGUCGGAGCUGCUUCAGCAGUGACGGCGUGCCUUUUGCAUAAUGAACCUACGAGUUACUUUUUCCGGCAAGGUUAAGGAUCUUGAGAUCCGCAGCCGAAGCGAAAGCGAGUCUUAACAGGGCGAUUAGUCGGAAGGAGUAGACGCGAAACCAAGUGAUCUACCCUUGGUCAGGUUGAAGGUUAGGUAACACUAACUGGAGGACCGAACCGAUAAGCGUUGAAAAGCUUCCGGAUGAACUGAGGGUGGGGGUGAAAGGCUAAUCAAACUUGGAGAUAGCUCGUACUCCCCGAAAUGCAUUUAGGUGCAGCCUUGGGAAUUACUACUGUGAGGUAGAGCGACUGAUAAGAUGCGAGGGCUUCACCGCCUAUCAAGUCUUGAUAAACUCCGAAUGCGCAGUAGUUCGAUCCCAGGAGUGAGGGCAUGGGUGCUAAGGUCCAUGUCCUAAAGGAGAAGAAUCCGGACCAUCAGCUAAGGUCCCGAAAUAAUUGCUAAGUUGAACUAACGAAGUCAGAUUGCUAAGACAGCUAGGAUGUUGGCUUGGAAGCAGCCAUUCAUUUAAAGAGUGCGUAACAGCUCACUAGUCGAGGAGUUUGGCGUGGAUAAUAAUCGGGCAUUAAGCAAUUUACCGAAGCUAUGGGAUCCGUAAGGAUCGGUAGGGGAGCAUUCCACUCUGCGUCGAAGGUGAAGCGUGAGCUUUGCUGGAGCGUGUGGAAAAGCAAAUGUAGGUAUAAGUAACGAUAAAGGGGGUGAGAAACCCCCUCGCCGAAAGACUAAGGUUUCCUGAUCAACGCUAAUCGGAUCAGGGUUAGUCGGGUCCUAAGGCUCAGCCGAACGGUGAGGCCGAUGGCAGAACAGGUUAAUAUUCCUGUACUACCUUAAGGAGUGACGUGGAGACGGAGGAGUGACAGCGCCGCGGACUGACGGAAUAGUCCGUUGAAGGGUGUAGAUGUUGAUUAUCCCAGGCAAAUCCGGGAUAAGAGUCGAACCUGAUAGUAUACCAAAUUCUUCGGAAUAAGGUAAUAGUGCGUGUAAGCAUACUCCCAAGAAAAUCCGCUAAACUUAAUCUUUAAGGUACCCGUACCGCAAACGGACACACGUAGUCGGGUUGAAUAUACUAAGGCGCUUGAGUGAUUCACGGUUAAGGAACUAGGCAAAUUGACCCUGUAACUUCGGGAUAAAGGGUCCCAACGAGAGUUGGGCGCAGAGAAUAGGUCCAGGCAACUGUUUAACAAAAACACAGGGCUGUGCCAAAUUGAAAGAUUACGUAUACAGCCUGACACCUGCCCGGUGCUGGAAGGUUAAGAGGAGAUGUCAUCGCAAGAGAAGCAUUGAAUUGAAGCCCCAGUAAACGGCGGCCGUAACUAUAACGGUCCUAAGGUAGCGAAAUUCCUUGUC
rnacentral:rRNA from 1 species